UCAACGUAAGAGACAUGAUAGUCUAUAAUACAGUAUUAUACCCAGGAUUAUAUUUAUAGUGCUUGAACUCCUGGCUAUAACAGGUCAUCCUGGCUGUAACAGGUCAUCCUGGCUGUAACAGGUCAUCCUGGCUGUAACAGUCCGUCCUGGCUGUAACAAUGCAUCCUGGCUGUAACAAUGCAUCCUGGCUGUAACAAUGCAUCCUGGCUGUAACAUGUCAUCCUGGCUGUAACAGGUCAUCCUGGCUGUAACAGGUCAUCCUGGCUGUAACAGGUAAUCCUGGCUGUAACAAUGCAUCCUGGCUGUAACAAUGUAUCCUGGCUGUAACAAUGCAUCCUGGCUGUAACAGUCCGUCCUGGCUGUAACAUGUCAUCCUGGCUGUAACAGUCCAUCCUGGCUGUAACAGGUCAUCCUGGCUGUAACAGUCCAUCCUGGCUGUAAAAAUGCAUCCUGGCUGUAACAGGUCAUCCUGGCUGUAACAGGUCAUCCUGGCUGUAACAGGUCAUCCUGGCUGUAACAGGUCAUCCUGGCUGUAACAGUGCGUCCUGGCUGUAACAGUGCAUCCUGGCUGUAACAAUGCAUCCUGGUUAUAACAGUGCAUCCUGGUUGUAACAAUGCAUCCUGGCUGUAACAGUUUAGUCCUGAUUGUAACAACACAUCCUGGCUGUAACAGUUUAGUCCUGAUUUUAACAACACAUCCUGGCUAUAUCUAAAAACGUUAUCACGUGUAGUACUUUUUCAGUGAUUUCAAAAAAUGUCUUCUGCAAUCAACUAUUUUGCUUAUGGCACCCUACUGUAUAAGUUCACCAAAAGGUCUAAGACAACCAAGAGUUUUCCAAUUAAGAGUAAAUGUAUUUUCUGUGAUUGA